UGAACGCUAGCGACAGGCCUAACACAUGCAAGUCGAGCGGCAGCACCUCGGGUGGCGAGCGGCGCACGGGUGAGUAACGCGUAUGUAACCUGCCCAUGAGUGGGGGGAUAGCCCGGUGAAAAACCGGAUUAAUACCGCAUAAUGCCAUUAGUUGACAUCGAAGAAUGGCUAAAGAUUCAUUGCUCAUGGAUGGACAUGCGUUGGAUUAGCUAGUCGGCGGGGCAACGGCCCACCGAGGCUACGAUCCAUAGGGGUUCUGAGAGAAGGUCCCCCACAUUGGUACUGAGACACGGACCAAACUCCUACGGGAGGCAGCAGUGAGGAAUAUUGGUCAAUGGGCGGAAGCCUGAACCAGCCAAGUCGCGUGAAGGAUGAAAAGGUAUUAUGUAUUGUAAACUUCUUUAGCUGUGGAGAAAUAAGGUGGUCGAGACCACCGAUGCUAGUACACAGAGAAUAAGGAUCGGCUAACUCCGUGCCAGCAGCUGC
rnacentral:rRNA from 1 species